AUUGAACGCUGGCGGCAGGCCUAACACAUGCAAGUCGAGCGGCGCGGCGGACGGGUGAGUGAUGCCUAGGAAUCUGCCUGGUCGUGGGGGAUAACGUCCGGCAACGGGACCUAAUACCGCAUACUUGCAGAUGAGUCUCGGUGGGAUUAGCUAGUUGGUGGGGUAAAGGCCUACCAAGGCGACGAUCCGUAACUGGGCUGAGAGGAUGAUCAGUCACACUGGAACUGAGACACGGUCCAGACUCCUACGGGAGGCAGCAGUGGGGAAUAUUGGACAAUGGGCGAAAGCCUGAUCCAGCCAUGCCGCGUGUGUGAAGAAGGUCUUCGGAUUGUAAAGCACUUUAAGUUGGGAGGCGUUACCAACAGAAUAAGCACCGGCUAACUUCGUGCCAGCAGCCGCGGUAAUUC
rnacentral:rRNA from 1 species